GCAGCAGUGGGGAAUNAUUGCNCCAAUGGGCGGAAGCCUGAUGCAGCGACCGCCGCGUGAGGGAUGGAGGCCUUUCGGGUUGUGAACCUCUUUCGCCCGUGGUCAAGCCGCAACUGUGGGUUGUGGUGAGGGUAGUGGGUAAAGAAGCGCCGGCUAACUACGUGCCAGCAGCCGCGGUAAUACGUAGGGCGCGAGCGUUGUCCGGAAUUAUUGGGCGUAAAGGGCUUGUAGGCGGCUGGUCGCGUCUGCCGUGAAAUCCUCUGGCUCAACUGGGGGCGUGCGGUGGGUACGGGCUGGCUUGAGUGCGGUAGGGGAGGCUGGAACUCCUGGUGUAGCGGUGGAAUGCGCAGAUAUCAGGAAGAACACCGGUGGCGAAGGCGGGUCUCUGGGCCGUUACUGACGCUGAGGAGCGAAAGCGUGGGGAGCGAACAGGAUUAGAUACCCUGGUAGUCCACGCUGUAAACGUUGGGCACUAGGUGUGGGGGCCACCCGUGGUUUCCGCGCCGUAGCUAACGCUUUAAGUGCCCCGCCUGGGGAGUACGGCCGCAAGGCUAAAACUCAAAGGAAUUGACGG
rnacentral:rRNA from 1 species